rnacentral:rRNA from 1 species
GAUGAACGCUAGCUACAGGCUUAACACAUGCAAGUCGAGGGGAAACGAUAGAGAAAGCUUGCUUUUUCUAGGCGUCGACCGGCGCACGGGUGAGUAACGCGUAUCCAACCUGCCCAUCACUUGGGGAUAACCUUGCGAAAGUAAGACUAAUACCCAAUGAUAUCUCUAGAAGACAUCUGAAAGAGAUUAAAGAUUUAUCGGUGAUGGAUGGGGAUGCGUCUGAUUAGCUUGUUGGCGGGGUAACGGCCCACCAAGGCGACGAUCAGUAGGGGUUCUGAGAGGAAGGUCCCCCACAUUGGAACCGAGACACGGUCCAAACUCCUACGGGAGGCAGCAGUGAGGAAUAUUGGUCAAUGGACGAGAGUCUGAACCAGCCAAGUAGCGUGCAGGAUGACGGCCCUAUGGGUUGUAAACNGCUUUUAUAAGGGAAUAAAGUGGGAGUCGUGACUCUUUUUGCAUGUACCUUAUGAAUAAGGACCGGCUAAUUCCGUGCCAGCAGCCGC